GAAAGAGAAAGGAAAGAGAGCAAGCCGGUGAUAACAGUAGACAUCUACUGUGGGCCUCAGCUUCAUCUGUGCAUUCAAUACAGGGCAGGUGCAUCGACCUCAGGGGGUGAAGGACUUUAGUACGAUGGCCAAGACAAGAACCGUGGAGUCAGAAUGCCUGCAUGCAGAUCUCAUCACCAUGUGUAAGUGGCCAGAGCUGGGCGAAAGGCUAAUCUCUGGGGCUGUCCGUGUUCUC
rnacentral:lncRNA from 1 species